CCUACGGGAGGCAGCAGUGGGGGAUAUUGGGCAAUGGGCGCAAGCCUGACCCAGCAAAGCCGCGUGAAGGAAGAAGGCUCUCGGGUUGUAAACUUCUUUUCUCAGGGACGAAGCAAGUGACGGUACCUGAGGAAUAAGCCACGGCUAACUACGUGCCAGCAGCCGCGGUAAUACGUAGGUGGCAAGCGUUAUCCGGAUGUACUGGGUGUAAAGGGCGUGUAGGCGGGACUGCAAGUCAGAUGUGAAAUCAACGGGCUCAACCUGUGGCCUGCGUUUGAAACUGUAGUUCUUGAGUACUGGAGAGGCAGACGGAAUUCCUGGUGUAGCGGUGAAAUGCGUAGAUAUUAGGAGGAACACCAGUGGCGAAGGCGGUCUGCUGGACAGCAACUGACGCUGAGGCGCGAAGGCGUGGGGAGCGAACAGGAUUAGAUACCCCAGUAGUC
rnacentral:rRNA from 1 species